AACAGAAUCAAGCGAUGCGGUCGCAUGCGCGUGCAUGCGGGAAACAAGGGAACACGGUGCGAAACCGUGACAGCCUCCGCUACUGUGAGAAGGACAACGCUCCGUUUGUGCCACCGGGAGAUCGGGAAGGCCGGGGCGGCGGAAGAAUUCGAGUCAGGAGACCUGCCGCAUCGCGUGGAACAGA
rnacentral:ncRNA from 2 species